rnacentral:tRNA from 1 species
GGGGAUUUGGUUCAGUGGUAGAGCGCUUGCCUAGCAAGCAUAAGGCCCUGGGUUCAAUCCCCAGCUCCG